rnacentral:rRNA from 1 species
GACGAACGCUGGCGGCGUGCUUAACACAUGCAAGUCGAACGGAAAAGCCCUGCUUUUGUGGGGUGCUCGAGUGGCGAACGGGUGAGUAACACGGGAGUAACCUGCCCUUUACUUUGGGAUAACUUCAGGAAACUGGGGCUAAUACCGGAUAGGAGCUCCUGCUGCAUGGUGGGGGUUGGAAAGUUUCGGCGGUUGGGGCUGGACUCGCGGGUUAUCAGCUUGUUGGUGGGGUAGUUGCUUACCAAGGCUUUGACGGGUAGCCGGCCUGAGAGGGUGACCGGCCACAUUGGGACUGAGAUACGGCCCAGACUCCUACGGGAGGCAGCAGUGGGGAAUAUUGCACAAUGGGCGGAAGCCUGAUGCAGCAACGCCGCGUGCGGGAUGACGGCCUUCGGGUUGUAAACCGCUUUCGCCUGUGACGAAGCGUGAGUGACGGUAAUGGGUAAAGAAGCACCGGCUAACUACGUG